rnacentral:rRNA from 1 species
AUUGAACGCUGGCGGCAGGCCUAACACAUGCAAGUCGAGCGAGCGGCGGACGGGUGAGUAAUGUAUGGGGAACUGCCUGAUGGAGGGGGAUAACUACUGGAAACGGUAGCUAAUACCGCAUACCAUCGGAUGAACCCAUAUGGGAUUAGCUAGUAGGUGGGGUAACGGCUCACCUAGGCGACGAUCUCUAGCUGGUCUGAGAGGAUGACCAGCCACACUGGGACUGAGACACGGCCCAGACUCCUACGGGAGGCAGCAGUGGGGAAUAUUGCACAAUGGGCGCAAGCCUGAUGCAGCCAUGCCGCGUGUAUGAAGAAGGCCUUAGGGUUGUAAAGUACUUUCAGCGGGGAGGCGUUACCCGAAGAAGAAGCACCGGCUAACUCCGUGCCAGCAGCCGCGGUAAUUC